UAGGGAAUCUUCGGCAAUGGGGGCAACCCUGACCGAGCAACGCCGCGUGAGUGAAGAAGGUUUUCGGAUCGUAAAGCUCUGUUGUAAGAGAAGAACGUGUGUGAGAGUGGAAAGUUCACACAGUGACGGUAACUUACCAGAAAGGGACGGCUAACUACGUGCCAGCAGCCGCGGUAAUACGUAGGUCCCGAGCGUUGUCCGGAUUUAUUGGGCGUAAAGCGAGCGCAGGCGGUUUAAUAAGUCUGAAGUUAAAGGCAGUGGCUUAACCAUUGUUCGCUUUGGAAACUGUUAAACUUGAGUGCAGAAGGGGAGAGUGGAAUUCCAUGUGUAGCGGUGAAAUGCGUAGAUAUAUGGGGGAACACCGGUGGCGAAAGCGGCUCUCUGGUCUGUAACUGACGCUGAGGCUCGAAAGCGUGGGGAGCAAACAGG
rnacentral:rRNA from 1 species